rnacentral:rRNA from 1 species
GACGAACGCUGGCGGCGUGCUUAACACAUGCAAGUCGAGCGGUAAGGCCCUUCGGGGUACACGAGCGGCGAACGGGUGAGUAACACGUGGGUGACCUGCCCCCUACUCUGGGAUAAGCCUGGGAAACUGGGUCUAAUACCGGAUAUGACAUAGUCUCGCAUGGGGUUGUGUGGAAAGUUUUUUCGGUGGGGGAUGGGCCCGCGGCCUAUCAGCUUGUUGGUGGGGUGAUGGCCUACCAAGGCGACGACGGGUAGCCGGCCUGAGAGGGCGACCGGCCACACUGGGACUGAGAUACGGCCCAGACUCCUACGGGAGGCAGCAGUGGGGAAUAUUGCGCAAUGGGCGGAAGCCUGACGCAGCGACGCCGCGUGGGGGAUGACGGCCUUCGGGUUGUAAACCUCUUUCGGCCCCGACGAAGCGUGAGUGACGGUAGGGGUAGAAGAAGCACCGGCCAACUACGUGCCAGCAGCCGCGGUAACACGUAGGGUGCGAGCGUUGUCCGGAAUUAUUGGGCGUAAAGAGCUCGUAGGCGGUGUGUCGCGUCGGCCGUGAAAACCUGCAGCUUAACUGUGGGCUUGCGGUCGAUACGGGCAUCACUGGAGUUCGGCAGGGGAGACUGGAAUUCCUGGUGUAGCGGUGAAAUGCGCAGAUAUCAGGAGGAACACCGGUGGCGAAAGGCGGGUCUCUGGGCCGAUACUGACGCUGAGGAGCGAAAGCGUGGGGAGCGAACAGGAUUAGAUACCCUGGUAGUCCACGCCGUAAACGUUGGGCGCUAGGUGCGGGGGCCAUUCCGUCUCUGUGCCGUAGCUAACGCAUUAAGCGCCCGCUGGGGAGUACGGCGCANGCUAAA